rnacentral:rRNA from 1 species
GAUGAACGCUGGCGGCGUGCCUAAUACAUGCAAGUCGAGCGAACAGACGAGGAGCUUGCUCCUCUGACGUUAGCGGCGGACGGGUGAGUAACACGUGGAUAACCUACCUAUAAGACUGGGAUAACUUCGGGAAACCGGAGCUAAUACCGGAUAAUAUAUUGAACCGCAUGGUUCAAUAGUGAAAGACGGUUUUGCUGUCACUUAUAGAUGGAUCCGCGCCGCAUUAGCUAGUUGGUAAGGUAACGGCUUACCAAGGCAACGAUGCGUAGCCGACCUGAGAGGGUGAUCGGCCACACUGGAACUGAGACACGGUCCAGACUCCUACGGGAGGCAGCAGUAGGGAAUCUUCCGCAAUGGGCGAAAGCCUGACGGGGCAACGCCGCGUGAGUGAUGAAGGUCUUCGGAUCGUAAAACUCUGUUAUUAGGGAAGAACAAAUGUGUAAGUAACUAUGCACGUCUUGACGGCACCUAAUCAGAAAGCCACGGCUAACUACGUG